rnacentral:rRNA from 1 species
AGCAGCCGCCGCGGUAAUACAGAGGGUGCGAGCGUUAAUCGGAUUUACUGGGCGUAAAGCGUGCGUAGGCGGCUAAUUGAGUCGGAUGUGAAAUCCCCGAGCUUAACUUGGGAAUUGCAUUCGAUACUGGUUAGCUAGAGUGUGGGAGAGGAUGGUAGAAUUCCAGGUGUAGCGGUGAAAUGCGUAGAGAUCUGGAGGAAUACCGAUGGCGAAGGCAGCCAUCUGGCCUAACACUGACGCUGAGGUACGAAAGCAUGGGGAGCAAACAGGAUUAGAUACCCCGGUAGUCCCUGUCUCUUAUAC